rnacentral:misc_RNA from 1 species
AGCAGCCGCGGUAAUUCCAGCUCCAAUAGCGUAUAUUAAAGUUGUUGCAGUUAAAAGCUCGUAGUUGAAUUUCGGGGUUCUACCGUUGGUCGGGCUAUUGUCUGUACUGGCGUGUAGAAUUUCUACCUUCUGGGGAACUAUCAUGUUAUUAAUUUAGCGUGGUAGGAAACCAGGACCUUUACCUUGAAAAAUUAGAGUGUUCAAAGCAGGCUUAUGUCUGAAUACAUUAGCAUGGAAUAAUAAAAUAGGACGGUGGUCCUGUUUUGUUGGUUUCUGAAUCACCGUAAUGAUUAAUAGGGAUAGUUGGGGGCAUUAGUAUUCAAUUGUCGGAGGUGAAAUUCUUGGAUUUAUUGAAGCUAACUACUGCGAAAGCAUUUGCCAAGGAUGUUUUCAUUAAUCAAGAACGAAAGUUAGGGGAUCGAAGACGAUCAGAUACCGUCGUAGUCUUAACCAUAAACUAUGCCGACUAGGGAUCGGACGAUGUUAACUUUUCUUGACUCGUUCGCGCCUUACGGGAACC